GCUUAGCGAACAGGAGCUGCUAACAGGGAGUUUUGCAAGGGAGUUUGGAAGGGGAGUAGGAAGGGGGGGGUCCCUUGUCAGUCUCAUCUGUGACCCAUUUGUCCCCUGAACCCAUAACCUGAGCCACAUCGAAAACCUUUCUGUUUACAGCAGAGAGGAGCGGACAGGGAGCUGUAGACGGGAAUUUGCGAGAGUUUGACAGAGGGAGGCCUACAAUGGUGAGGAGGACCCGCAACACCUGUGCCAGCACUGCUUCUGUCUCCUCCACCUGCGCCUGUAGCCAGACAGAGCACCAAAGCAUGGAUGCUUUUACCCAGAUUCUGGUGUGGGCUUGCAAAGACUGUAAUUUGCAAUUUCCACUUACUGAUAUCCAGGCUGGGGGUGGCAUCCAAUGUGAAAGGUGCCUACUGGUGGAAUCUCUCAGGCAGCAGGUGGGAGAGCUACAGGAGGAGGUGGCCAGGCUGAGGAACAUCUAUGUCCAUGAGCAAUUCCUGGACAGUCUCCAUGUGGAGACAGCUGAUGGUGCUGUCCCAGUUGACAGGACUACUGACACUCCAGUGAAGGAGGAGAUGCCUCAGGGUGUAUCUGACACACCAGUGGAGGAGGAGGCUCAGGGUGGACACAGCCAGCUGGUUACUUCUAGCAGCAGGCAGUGCUCCACCCCUGCUGUGAACCCUCCUGCUGUGGUAAAAGAUAACCAUUAUGCUCUUCUUGAUACAGGAGAGAAGAAAUCACCCCCAACAGUUAAGGGGGUGAAGCCUCGUACCCCUAAGGCUGGGAGGUCUGCUGCCACCACUGAUAAGAAACGUAGGGUAGUGGUGGUUGGAGACUCUCUGCUGAGGGGGACGGAGACACCCAUCUGUCGCCCUGACCGUUCAUCCCGGGAGGUAUGCUGCCUGCCAGGGGCCCGUAUCUGAGAUGUUACAGAGGCUUUGUCGAGGAUUAUCCGGCCUUCUGACUACUAUCCCAUGCUACUCAUCCAUGUGGGCACAAAUGAUACUGCGAGGUAGGGGUCCGGGCAGAAACAGAUGCAUCGUGGAGGUGAAUGCCUAGCUGCGAAGAUGGUGUCACUAGGAGGGCUUUGGCUUCCUCGACCACGGGAUGCCGUUUGAGGAAGGACUGCUAGGAACAGAUGGCAUUCACCUUUCGAAGCGGGGAAAGGCCUUAUUUGCGCACAGACUGGCUAACCUAGUAAGGAGGGCUUUAAACUAGGUUCGACGGGGACAGG